rnacentral:rRNA from 1 species
GAUGAACGCUGGCGGCGUGCCUAACACAUGCAAGUCGAACGGAGGUUACGGACGGGCGUUUUCGGAUGGAAGGCUGUAAUUCUUAGGGGCGGUCGGGUGUGUAACGCGUGGGCAACCUGCCCUAUUCAGGGGGAUAGCAGCUGGAAACUGCUGUUAAUACCGCAUAAGUCGCCGAGACCGCAUGGUUUUGCCGUGACAUGAGCGAUCAGGUAUAGGAUGGGCCCGCUUCCGAUUAGCCAGUUGGCAGGGUAAAAGCCUACCAAAGCAACGAUCGGUACCCGGAAUGAGAGGUGGGACGGCCACAUUGGGACUGCGACACGGAGCAAUCUCCUACGGGAGGCAGCAGUGGGGGAUAUUGACCAAUGGAGGAGCGUCCAGUGCAGCGACGCCGCGUGAUGGAAGAAGCAUUUCGGUAUGUAAAGCUCUAUCAGCAGGUAAGAUGUUGACGGUACCUGAUGAAGAAGCCCCGACUAACUACGUG